rnacentral:ncRNA from 1 species
CGGCGUGCCUAAUACAUGCAAGUCGAGCGAACUCAAUUAAAGCUUGCUUUAUGAGAGUUAGCGGCGGACGGGUGAGUAACACGUGGGCAACCUGCCCUGUAGACUGGGAUAACUUCGGGAAACCGAAGCUAAUACCGGAUAAUCUUUGGAGCCUCAUGGUUCUAAAGUGAAAGUUGGGUUUACCUAACACUACAGGAUGGGCCCGCGUCGCAUUAGCUAGUUGGUAAGGUAACGGCUUACCAAGGCGACGAUGCGUAGCCGACCUGAGAGGGUGAUCGGCCACACUGGGACUGUUAUCUAGUUUUGAAAGAAUGAUUUCUUUCAACUAAAUAUAUUAUCUAGUGGCGAUAGCGAAGAGGUCACACUCGUUCCCAUGCCG